UACAGAGGUGGCUAGCGUUGUUCGGAUUUACUGGGCGUAAAGGGUGCGUAGGCGGUCUUGUGUGUCGGAUGUGAAAUCCCACUGCUUAACGGUGGAACUGCAUUCGAAACUACAAGGCUAGAGUAUGGUAGAGGAGAGUGGAAUUCUCGGUGUAUCGGUGAAAUGCGUAGAUAUCGAGAGGAACACCGGUGGCGGAAGCGACUCUCUAGAACAAUACUGACGCUGAGGCACGAAAGCUAGGGGAGCAAACAGG
rnacentral:rRNA from 1 species